GAGGUAAGGUAUCUGUAAACAAAACAAAGUAAGUAAGGUGGCUAGAGGUAAGGUAUCUGUAAACAAAACAAAGUAAGUAGGUGGCUAGAGGUAAGGUAUCUGUAAACAAAACAAAGUAGGUGGCUAGAGGUAUGGUAUCUGUAAACAAAACAAAGUAAGUAGGUGGCUAGAGGUAAGGUAUCUGUAAACAAAACAAAGUAAGUAGGUGGCUAGAGGUAAGGUAUCUGUAAACAAAACAAA
rnacentral:sRNA from 1 species